rnacentral:rRNA from 1 species
UGAUAGGUGAGUUUGGUGAUGGCUCUGAUUGAACGCUGUCCAAAUGCUUGACACAUGCUAAUCGUACGUUUAAUUUAUGCUUUUUGGAUAUCUAAUAUCUGAGUACCAUGAAUUAUAUUUAGUAAUGGUGUAAUAUCUUUUGCUUUAUCGCAGAGAUGUUGAAGGUGAAUUAAAAGUGGUGUACAGGUGAGUGAAAGAUAUUCGGCCGACCUUAAAGAGAGGGAAAAAAUCCCUCAUAUAAAAAAGGGUGUAAUAGCCGCUUUAAGAGGAAAGGUAUCUGCGGGAUAGGUAGUAGUUAGGGUAAUGGCCUAACUAGCCAACAAUUCUCGGAGUCGAAGCUGAAAUGGUUGAUCGACCACAUUGGGGAUGAAAAAAUCCCAAGGCAUAUAUGUACAGCAGUGAGGAAUCUUGGUCAAUGGCCUAACGGCUGAACUGGCAACUUGGAUGAAUGGACCGGCUACCCCUUAAUAAAUAGGGAAUAGGUAGUGCAGGAGAUCCUUUUAAGGAGUAAAGUUCUAAAUAUAAGAUUGAUAAUGACAGUCUAUAUAUUAUGUCUUGACCAAUUACGUGCCAGCAGUCGCGGUAAUACGUAUGAGACUAGUGUUAUUCAUCUUAAAUAGGUUUAAAGGGUACCUAGACGGCAAAUGUCACCUUUAAAAGGUUAUUAUUUUGCUAGAGUUUUAUGUGAAGAGGCCGUACUUAUGAGUGGAGAGUUAAAAUUCUGUGAUACCUGGGGGACGGAUAACGGCGAAGGCAGCCUCUUAUGUACAAACUGACGUUGAAGGACGAAGGCAUUGCGGCACGAAAAGGAUUAGGGACCCUAGUAGUCUUUGCAGAAAAUGAUGAAUGCCAUAGAUUAGGUUGUUACUUAGUUUAUAAAUGAAAGUGUAAGCAUUUCACCUCAAGAGUAAUGCGGCAACGCAGGAACUGAAAUCACUAGACCGUUUCUGACACCAGUAGUGAAGUAUGUUGUUUAAUUCGAUGAUCCACGAAAAAUCUUACCACAAUUUGAAUAGAAUAAAAUAAUUAUUACUAUGGUGGCGGCUUCUGAUUUUUUUAUAUAAAAAAAAAUGAAGCCGCCGUAGUUUUAAUAUAUUUAUUCAUACAAGCGUUGCACGGCUGUUUCCAGUUAAUGUUGUGAAACUGUGGCAAAAGCCAUGGAAUUAACGUAAACCUGAGCUUUAUUUGUAAAUAUAUUAUUUUGAUAGGGCUGACUCGUCCAUAUUAUUGGAUCUGAUAACAGGGACUAAGACAAGUCAUCAUGGCCUUAAUAUUGUGGGCUAAAGACGUGCCACAUAUUCCUAAACAAAGAGAUGCGAAAAUGCGAAUUUUAGCUAAUCUCAGUGCGCCGUUUCAUUAUGUACAUGCCCGAUGGGAAGUUGUUUAUAUAUUAUAUUCAUGUAUAAGCGCGAUUCCAUCUCGAUUGUUUUCUUAUCGAUAAAUCAUCUUACUU